AACGCACGAGACCUGCGGACCUGCGGAAGGAUCAUUACCGAGUUAUCCAACUCCCAACCCCUGUGAAUCAUACCUUUAAUUGUUGCUUCGGCGGGACUUCGCGCCCGCCGGGGACCCAAACCUUCUGAAUUUUUUAAUAAGUAUCUUCUGAGUGGUUAAAAAAAUGAAUCAAAACUUUCAACAACGGAUCUCU
rnacentral:misc_RNA from 1 species